GCGAGUGUAGUUCAAUGGUAGAACUUCAGCUUCCCAAGCUGAUAGCGCGGGUUCGAUUCCCGUCACUCGCUCCAAUG
rnacentral:tRNA from 1 species